GACGAACGCUGGCGGCGUGCUUAACACAUGCAAGUCGAACGGAAAGGCCCUGCUUUUGUGGGGUGCUCGAGUGGCGAACGGGUGAGUAACACGUGAGUAACCUGCCCUUGACUUUGGGAUAACUUCAGGAAACUGGGGCUAAUACCGGAUAGGAGCUCCUGCUGCAUGGUGGGGGUUGGAAAGUUUCGGCGGUUGGGGAUGGACUCGCGGCUUAUCAGCUUGUUGGUGGGGUAGUGGCUUACCAAGGCUUUGACGGGUAGCCGGCCUGAGAGGGUGACCGGCCACAUUGGGACUGAGAUACGGCCCAGACUCCUACGGGAGGCAGCAGUGGGGAAUAUUGCACGAUGGGCGGAAGCCUGAUGCAGCAACGCCGCGUGCGGGAUAACGGCCUUCGGGUUGUAAACCGCUUUCGCCUGUGACGAAGCGUGAGUGACGGUAAUGGGUAAAGAAGCACCGGCUAACUACGUG
rnacentral:rRNA from 1 species